rnacentral:rRNA from 1 species
UGCCUGAUGGAGGGGGAUAACUACUGGAACGGUAGCUAAUACCGCAUAACGUCGCAAGACCAAAGAGGGGGACCUUCGGGCCUCUUGCCAUCGGAUGUGCCCAGAUGGGAUUAGCUUGUUGGUGGGGUAACGGCUCACCAAGGCGACGAUCCCUAGCUGGUCUGAGAGGAUGACCAGCCACACUGGAACUGAGACACGGUCCAGACUCCUACGGGAGGCAGCAGUGGGGAAUAUUGCACAAUGGGCGCAAGCCUGAUGCAGCCAUGCCGCGUGUAUGAAGAAGGCCUUCGGGUUGUAAAGUACUUUCAGCGGGGAGGAAGGGAGUAAAGUUAAUACCUUUGCUCAUUGACGUUACCCGCAGAAGAAGCACCGGCUAACUCCGUGCCAGCAGCCGCGGUAAUACGGAGGGUGCAAGCGUUAAUC